rnacentral:rRNA from 1 species
UACAGAGGGUGCGAGCGUUGUCCGGAAUCACUGGGCGUAAAGGGCGCGUAGGUGGCGUCGCAAGUUGAUGGUGAAAGCUCGGCGCUCAACGCCGAGUCGGCCGUCAAGACUGCGAGGCUGGAGCACUGUAGAGGCUCAUGGAAUUCCGGGUGUAGCGGUGGAAUGCGUAGAGAUCCGGAAGAACACCGGUGGCGAAGGCGGUGAGCUGGGGCAGUUGCUGACACUGAGGCGCGACAGCGUGGGGAGCAAACAGGAUUGAGAAACCCCU